rnacentral:lncRNA from 1 species
AUAACUGAUAAAAUAUAAGGUUAGAGGUAAAGUAAAGCCCGGUAUUUUUGGUCUUUUGGAUAAAAGGAAAGUUCUUGUAAGCAAGAAGUUUUCAGAGAAGUGUCUCUCUCCAAGAUUCUAAGUGACAAAUGAAUUGCAUCCAGUGGAAGGAGUUCCCCAGGAACUCUGGAAGGUAGACACUAUUAUUAUUCCAAUUUUACAGAUGGGAAAACUGAAGCAAACCUCAGAGGUAAAAUGACUUGCCCAGGGAUUACACAAGAGAAGUCCUUGGAUGGAGAGAAAGCCUUCAUGAAAAAGCUGAAAUGUAGAGAAAAUCGACCUUUUAUCAUCUUCAAACUUCCUUAAAAUUUGGAGAAUUUGGAUCAGAUUGGGAAUUCUCUCUCUUCAAUUGAGCUGAAGUAUCUCAGUUCCAAUAGAAGAGUUCAUUCAUUUUGUAUAUUAAUUAGUAUUGUGGCAAACCUAUCAUAUUUGAUACCUGGAAUGUAUAAUUUUUAAACAUCUCUUCUUAAUAUGACAAAACUGUUUUCAGUUACAAUCAUGAACAAAAUGAAUGAUAAUGUCCAGAAAAAUGAAAUUAUUAUAUAUAAUGUGAAUUUUCUUUUUUUAAUUAAAGCUUUUUAUUUUCAACACAUAUAAAUGGAUAAUUUUUCAACAUUGACCCAUGCAUAGUUUUGCGUUCCAAAAUUUCCCCUCCUUACUCCCACCCCUCUCCUUGAUGGCAAGCAAUGCAAUAUAUGUUAUACAUGUUAAAAUAUACAUAUGAAUUUUCUAUGUAAGUAUGGAUAUCAUAUAAUAGCAAUGAAAAAAGUGUAAAAAAUAAAAAGUAAUAGAU